rnacentral:lncRNA from 1 species
AGUGGACUUGAGGCUGUCGGGAAGGAGGGGUGUGGCCUAGACCACUAAGGGCCGUGACGUGGUGCCGCUGAGCUUGGACCCCGACCAGAAGAUAGAGAUUGAAACGAUGAGGAAAACGAAGUGCCUAAUCCCCGCUGGACGCUAACUGCAGGGCAAGCUCCCCAGUGUUGUAGUUGUGUUUCGGAGGCCGAGAACCGCUAUCGGGCUUCCUCGGACUCUGGCCCUGGAGGGGGGAAACGGCGAGGGAGAAGGCGAAACGAGUCUCCAGUGUGUUCUUGGGGCCUGGUGCGAGGCCCAGAGAAUUCUCUGCAGGCCUUUGCCCGGGCACUGAUUAAGGCUGCGAAGAGACGCACCGGGCUGCGGGCUUAGUAGCUUCAGGCUUCUGAAGUCAGAGGGAGGGCUGAGAGCUUACACUUCUGGAGCUCCCCGGGAGACGGCAACUACCCAACCGUGUGGGUGUGUUUGUCACCCAGAAAUACUCUCCACACCAUGCUGCACUGCUGCGGAUGAGGGAAGGAUGGUGUCGGGGCUUCAAGACUGUUUUUCCUACCUCUUCAGUGCCUCUUUCAGUGAUAUGAAGUUAAAACCAGGAACAUGGAGGAGACAUAUUUCCACCUAUUUCUCUCCAUAAGUAUAAAAGACCAUAAAAGACCAUCUAGGGACUUCAGAACCCAAAUAAUGACACAAUGUUAAUUUGCAGGUUCUCCCUCUGCCUGCCACCCCACCCAGCAAGGAGGAGAGGAAGUGUUGAGAAGGGAAGAGAUGAGUCCUGGCCCUGUCACUUCUUAGGGGUGUGCUUUUGAACAACCUGCUCACCAUGUAUGAACUUCACUCUUCUUGUUUAUAAAAUGAGGACAAUGACACCUGCAAGACUGUGAGGUUUAAAAACAAAAUCUGUGUUGAGAGGUAACUUGCCUCUUUUACUUACCAAUGAUUUCCUCAAUGCCUGGUGACUGGGGCUGGUUCAUACUAGACGAUCAAUAAAUGCUCCUUGAAUGAAUAGGUGGAUGAAAGAAAUGUCUGGCAUCUAUCACAGGUGCUGGCACUGAUAAGUGCUUGAUAAAUAGGCUGGCUGACUGUGAGUGAUGCUGACGGGCAAAGGACAGAGACACCAGGAAGGAGAACAGGACACGAAAGAUAACUGUCUCAGCCCUUGGGGAGUUUCUGACCCAGGAGGAUGGGAACAUCAAUUAUCAAUAGUUACAGAUCAUUAAAUAAUUGCAAGUGUGAGGCGCACUAUAAAGAGGAGGCUCAGAGUCCCCGCAUGCUCACACUCACACCUGGCCACAGACAGGUGACACCCCUGGCUUGCCCAGGCCAGCGGGUCUGCAAUGAGGCCAAGGACCUGGGCUCUUGAGAAGUUUUAAGUUUGAAAACAUUGCUUUUUAAGCUUAAAACAAUGAACCUUAAUAAAAGUAAACACUUCCAUUGAGCUUUGAAACACUUAAUAGGAGUUAAAAGUAAUUAGGCUAAUAAAAUAGUCUUUUGUUCCAAUUCAAUAAGUGCUUUCUUUUAUUAACUUCAUUGUCCUUUAAGAUUGGGAUUAAGGUUUGUCUGCAUUUGGAAAAGGUCACAUUUGCCCAAAGACUGAUGGGUGAUAACAGUAAGGCAGCCCCCUGCACAGGGAGAGGCCAGUAAGAGCCUGGGCUCCAUGAAACUGCAUUUCAACUCCAACCCUGAUGUCCUGCCUGUCUCCUGGGCAUGUUUAUCUUACACUGCUAAGCAUCAGUCUCAUUUGUACAGUGAGAAUAAUAUCACUGUGUAAGGUUGUAUUGAGAAUUAAGAGAGCUCACGUAUGCCUGUAAAGUACCUGGCAUACCGCAGGGUACAAGGAGGGCGUUGUUAGCUGUGAUGGCCCCUUUCCUUCUUCCCUUUACUUCAGAGGUGACCUCUCCAAAUCACAUUUAGUCCUUAAACCUCAGGUCAGGCGAUAGUGCUGAUGGGCAACCCUCCCACCCAGGUUUGGCUGCAAGUCACUCCUCUGGGCUCCUCUGGGCUCCUACAGCCUCCCGCAUGGUCCCUCUCAUGCAUCCUUGUGAUGGUCUGACCAGGAGCUUCUUGAGGACAGGGGUUGGGGCCACUUGCCUGCGUGCUUCUCCAUGCCCAUUUGCUAUCAGAUGCCUUCCCCUUUCUGCUCUGCACUGCGGGGAACUACAUUUUCCAGGCUCCCUGGGCAGUGGCAGGCUUCCGGCUAGUUUCUACCAAGGGGAGCGCUGAUGGGAGAUGAAAAAGUGGGAAAAAAGGAGAAGCCAGGAUGCUUCUCUGUCUCGUCUUCCUUUUUCUCUUUCAGGGGUUUUUGGUAGUGGCUGUGUCUCCCUGAUAGCUCCUCUCUAUGAUCCAGCCCUGCUUGGCAGCCCUGGCUUCUGGGUUCUGAAAACACCACGUUCCUCCUUGUGUCCCUCUAUCUAGUAAUUGGCAGCUUUCUGAUGUUGCUAAGUUCUGACUUGCUUCACCAUCUCCUAUUUGGCUCCUCAGCUUUUCCAUCUUCUGUGUAACCUGUUCCCCGUACUAAAUUUCCUCUGUGUGAAAUGCCUAGCAUGGUUUCUGUUUCCGUGGUGGGACUCAGACGGAUACAUUCUGUGUCCCUAAGCCUCUGACACAGCACCUGACCCAUGAUAGGAUCUCAGGAAGCUCUUUUUUGGCUGAGUACAUUUCCCAUUGUAAUAUUCCCCAAAGGUGGGAUUUUGUUCAUCUUUUUACAGGCUUUCCUCUGGCCCUCCCUUGCUUUCUGUAGCUUUAGCAGGCCAGAAGCAUGAGGAGCAAUUAAAGUGAGCACCAGCCCCAGAAAAGUAGUGAUCAAAUGUUUAAAGUUCUUGAAAAUUCUGUCUAGUUCAUUUCUAUUUCAUUUUCUUAAGCCCCAGAUUCUAAUUGUAUCUGUCUACACAACAAGUGUAAUCAGGGAGCCAAAAUUAAAUUUCCCCAAUCCCUGCCCUUCUAAUCAAUCACAAAUCACGAAUGAAAAGAGCAGAUUCAAGUGGAAGAAUCAGCUCCAGGAGGCCAGUCUUUCCAUUAGCUCUGUUAGGCUCUCCACAGAGGUGGGACCUAUCUCUCCCCACCCACUCCGCCCCAGCAGGGGAAAAUGCAAACAAGUCACUUUUGAUGACCACCUGUCUGCAGUGGUAUUGGUCUCAAAGGAGACCUAAAGUGAAUGCCAAUUUCAGAAAAAUAAAGUUUGGGGAUAUGGUUUGGAUGUUUGUCCCCACCACCCCCACCCCACCAAUUUCAUGUUGAAGUGUGAUUCCCAAUGUUGGAUGUAGGUUCUGGUGGGAGGUGAUUGGAUCAUGGUGAUGGAUUCAUUAUGAAUGGUUUAGUGCCAUCCCCUUGGUGAUAAUGAGUUCUCACUUGGUUAGUUUUUGUGAGAUCUGGUUGUUUAAAAGAGCCCAGAACCUCCACCUGACUGUUUCUUGCUCUCUUUCUUGCCAUGUGACAUCACUGGCUCCCCCUUUGCCUUGUGCAAUGAUUAUAACCUUCCUGAGGCCCUUAUUGGAGGUAGAUGCCAGAGCCAUACUCGUACAGCCUGCACAACUGUGAGUCAAUUAAACCUCUUUUCUUUAUAAAUUACCCAGUCCCAGGUACUUAUAGCAAUGCAAAAACUAUCUAACACUCCUGGUUUCAAAUGAUUGGGAAGAAAUGGGAUUAGAGGUCUCUGAAGAUGCCAGGGCUCUGGAGAUUGCUGGGGGAAGGAUAGCCCUGUCCCUGUCAGGGGCCGCCUCCUGUGUGGAGGGCCUUAGGGCUCUGGAGAGAGAACCCCUGUGUUCAAAUUCUGCCUCUGCUACUUACCAAAUAUGGGACUUUGAGUAUUUCACCUGGUCUGAAUGGGCACCUACAUCCUAGUCCUGGAAACAGCUCAAAUAGGGACAGAGGAGGUGCUUAACAAAGGAUUAAGCCUACAACCUGGAUCUAUUCCUUGCCUUGAAGACCAGUUGAGGGCCCAGGAUGAGCCUCCUGUGGGUGCACUAGCUCUGCUUUAAUUGCCUAGUUCUAAAAUGAAUCUUCCUUUGCAUUGGAGAAAAAAACAACAGAGGCUACAGAAAGCCCCUGGGGUCUGUCUCAGCUGCUAUUGCUCUGACUGUGGUCUGUGAACCCUGGGUAGGCAAGACAUAGCUCCCACCUGUUCCUCUUUUCAUCUCUUGCUGGUGAGGAGCAGGUGUUCUUUCCAAGCUUCUCCUAUCUCUCUCCCCUCUUCUUACUUGUUCCAGUCUUUCUCCCUCCUCUUCCCUCUCCUCUUCUUUCUUCUUCCUUUGCCUUAUCCUCUUCCCUGCUUUCCUCUCUCCCAUUCUUUCCCCCUCCUCUGCUCUUUUCUCCUCUCUCUUUCUCUCCUCUCCCUUCCUCUUCCCUCUGCCUUCCUCUUCACUUCCCUUUCCUCCUACCCUUUCCCCUCCUUUCCCAUCUUCUCUCCUCCUCUACCCCCUCAUCCCUUCCUCUUCACCUCUCCCCUCUGUUUCCCUUCCUCUCCCUGCAACAUUCUCUCCUCUCCUCCUUCCUCCUUUCUCUUCUUCCUCAUUCUCCCCUCCUGUCCCUUCUGUAGCUCCCCUUAUCCCUUGUGGCAUCAGCAUCUCCCAGCCUCAAAACUGGCAGUCACUGUUUCAUCAGCUCUGGCCCCAGCCAAAACCUCCCUCCCUUCUCAGCCAGCAGCAGCUGCUGGACUCUUGAAGGGGGUAACAAUUAGUCAUUGGAGGGUGGCAGUGGUUGAGGGAGACAGAGCGUGCCAGCCUUUGCAGUCAUUGCUCUGUCACCUCAUGUACAACAGGCUUAACUCAACACGUGAUCUUCCCUUUGGCACCCCCCUCUCCCUCUGCCACUGCUGAGCUGUGUUGUGUGUAUUUGUCCUCCCUCGUCCCCACACCCACAACCAUCUUUAUGCCCUCACCUCCUCUGUGAGCUUUAUGCAGCCCUGCCUAGUGUGGCAGCUCCUUAAAGCACCUCUCUUGUUCUUCCCUUCCUUCCUGUGACCACUCCCUAUCCCUAAUAUGGGUCCCUCACUGCUUCUCCCCUGAAAUACUUGAUCCUGGGUUCCUCUCCCCACCUUCAUCUGUCCUGUCAACAAUGACUGGAGUGCAUUCCUGGUUCAUGUCCUCCUAGGGAUGAAAAAGAGUGACAUCUUUCCUCCCCACCACACUCCUAGAACAAAAGAUAGGUUAACAAGAGAAAAGCAUAACACAUUUAUUUAAUCAAGCUUUUAUGUGAUAUGGGAGACUUCAAAAAUGAAGACCCCAAGACCCAGGGGAAACUGUUUUUAUGCUUAGGUUUGAUGAAGAGUGGACAGCCAUGUACUCUUUUUGUAUUGGACAAAAGGGGUAUAAUCCAGUAGUAAUAGACUGAAUGGGAAAACCCAGCAAGGCCUGUCUGUUCAGAUUCUUCUUGGCCUCUCUGUUGUAGCAUUUCUUCCUUCUGGGUAUGAUGCAGGACCCCUCUGCAAUGAGGGCCUUAGGAUCUAAUAUCAGAUAAGGGUAGGUCAGAGAAUUUCUUUUUGGCCACCUCCUAGACAGAAGGGGAUGGGGAGGUCAGAGUAGUAUUUCCAGGGUUCAUGGCUUACUUUGGGGGAGAGGGGUUCCAGUUUUUAUGACCCACCUAGGGUACAAGGAAUUAUGUUUCUAUGACUUGCUUUGAGGGAGAAAUGAGGGGUGAGAGAUAGGAAGCAGGAAGUCAAAGAGACCAUGGUUCUGAGGUUGCUUCUGAGGUCUUCCAAUGUCCUUUAGUUCAAAGUACUCAGCACACCAAAGUGCUAUACUUUGGGGUAUCAUUUUCUGAGCUGCAGAAUCCCAGAUACAUCACUCUCCUCAGAAGCUCUGGCUCUCCUGGUGCACUGACUGAGACCAAACAAGUGUUCAUGACCUACCCAAGCCUGAGAGAACAGCCCUCCAGAUCCUGGUCCUCCUGCCUUCCACCAUGGGCAAGAACCCCCACCCCACCUCUCCCCAACCCUCCUUGCCUUUUUCUGCUUCCCGCCUUUGCUUGUGCUGGUUCCUUCUCCACCUGUUCCCAUCACCCAUACCCUGUUCCCAUCACCCACUGCCAUUAUCCAGGGCCUAAACAUCUCCCCCAUUAUGAAGCUGCUCUAGAGAGGGUGACGUCGCUUCUCUUAUAGGACUCGUUGGACACAGUCAGGGGCCCUAAUACUGCAUCAGCAGAAAGAUGUGUGAGUGGUUCACAUGACCUUUGACCACUGACUUUACUCACCUAUGGAGGUGGACUUGGGCUUUUGCUUGAGAAUGUGGGUGUGCAUAUGUGGGAAAAUAUGUUUAAAAUGAUCAUGCUUUGGAUGAACGAGGCUGGGUUUACCAGUGUAUUUGCUAAGCACUUGCAGAGGACUCGACUGGGGAGCUUGAAAUAAUACAUAUUCCAGGGCCCUGUCCCUGACCUCAGAACCAGAUUAGAGGAGCAGGGGAGGUGGCAGUAAUCUGUGUUUUUAAUAAGUCCUUCUGUUUGAUCUUCACAUUUGGAAAUGACUACAGUAAGUGAUCUCAGUAUUAAAACUCUUAGAAAGCAAAGAGUUUUCAUGAAGGAAAUAAUCACCUCAUUAUAUAUGUAUUACAAUGGAUAAAUAUAUGGGAUUGGGGAGGAGAAUCUGUAUAUAGGGAGAGAAUUGACUGUUGUUUCAGGCACUGUACCACAGGGUCUUAUUCAUUCCUUACUACUUCCCAUGCAGCAGGUUCUAUAAUCCUUACUUUACAGAUGAGAAAGGGGAGGCUCAGAGAGGGGAAGUAACUGCUGCAUAGUCACACAGCUGGAGAGUGACAAGGUCCAUGUUCAAACCAAGGGCUGAUGCCAAAGUCCAAGCUUGAACCACACUGCAAUGCUGCCCAUUUGUGAGCCUGAAUUUUUUUUUUAACUUUCAAGGACAGGUUUUCUUUAACUUUCAAGAACAGGCCCCACUGGUUAAUGGCUAACCCCAAUGUCUCUCAUGAUACUCCCUGGAGGUAGGGUUCUGAGGUUCCAAGAGUGCUUCCCACUGGCCUGCCCUGUCCUCAGUAUAAGCCCUAGAUGGGUCUUAAAAUUUAAUCUUUUCUACUGUAUUCCCGACUAGGCUUGUUGGUGCUGGAGUGAAGCAUUCCUGCCAUGGUUUGGUUCUGAAACAGGCUGAGGGAACAGAAAUAUGAGAGAGGCAACUUGACUUAUCCCAUCCACAAGGCCCAUAGCAUGAUGGCUUGAUCAAAGGGCUUGAGCCAAGGCUGGCCCUGGGCCACAUGGCUGGAUUGCAGCCUUUCUAUCCAUCCCCCUAAUCCCAUUUAGGAUGUUCAGGAUCAAUGAAAAGAUCUGAUCAUUCAAAUCAUACCAAAGUGUGCUAACACCAUGUGCUACCCCUCUGGGGAUAAACCUGCUUUACAAAGAGAAUGCUUGCCUAAUGGUGGGACAGAAGGAUGAAGGACAUGCCUUUUACCUGUGGGACCCCAUGAAUUUAGGACCCCGUGAAUGAUCCAUCACAAAUCCGUCUGCAUUAACCACUCUGUCCUUCCAGGUGCACUAUUCCAUCUGCGUAUCCAGCAGCAAAAUACAAUUCUGCUCAGAAUAAUGAACCUAAUGUUCUGAAGGCACCAGAAGGUUGUGGAAGUAUUGACCUAUCUCUAGUUAGCAUCUGCUCACCAGGACCCCUGAGACUGUGGAGGGGGUAACUCAGCAGAAGGACCAGGGCUAACAGGGACUGAAUCCUUACCACAUACCAGGGCCCGUUCCAAACACUUUGCAUGUUUUAAAUUGCUUAAUCCUCACAAUGACCCAGUGGAGGAGAUGAUAGUUUUGUCUCUUCUUCAUAUUAUGAUAGAGGAAAAUGAGGACAGAGAGGCCAAAUGACAGGCCCAUGGUCAACCAGCUAAGAAGUGAAGGGGCAGGACUUGAAUUCAGGCCUCCUGGCCCCAGAGUUUGCAGCACCUGGCAUGUGGCAGUAGUUGAGAAGUUACACUGAGUCUGAGUAGACCUGUAGUUAGUGACCCCCUCCACAGCACAGGGCUGAUGGACAGUGGGCUGGCUUGGGCCAAGAGCAGCUGGCACUGCAGAUCUGUUGGAAUAGCUCUGCCCAGGCUGCCCAGGGCAAGUUGCAGACUGGGAGGCAUAUGUAUCCUAAAAUAGAACUUUUGAGAAAUAAUGUGCAUCCAAAGGAAUGAGUCUCAGACGAGGAUGUUCAAGAAUCAGUAGCAGAUGCUGUGCGGGCCACAGAAUGUUUCUAGGUAAAAUGCCCUCCUCCCCACCCCCCAUGUCCCCCACAACCAACAAACAAGCUAAGAAAAAAGAAACAAAAUAAAAUAAAUUGAAACAAAUUAAUAAACAUGCAAAAACCACACAGACAGUCAUCUCUUCUGUCUGUGGGUAAAACUGACAGCUCUAGAAAUAAACGGAGAUCCAUAUAAAGGGUUUCAAAAUAUGGGAGUAAUUUUUGUUUUUCCAUUUAAUGCUAGGUUUCAAAGGAGGGGAAUAUGUCUAUCACUGCUACAUAGGCAUUCUGUUUAAAACCCACCCAGAUGCCUUAAUGGGGCUCUGUCAAGAGUGGGAAGGUCCCCACAGCUGUUUCUCAAAGCCAGUAGACCACUCAGUGUGGGCAGUGGGGAGCUUGUGCUUGGCAGGCCUCCCACGUCGCCAUCAUUUCUUUUUGAACACUUGACGGCACACCUGGUCACCACAGGUCAGCUCCUGCAACGUCAGAAAGUGGGUGAGGGUCUAACAAGCCAGGCCUUUCUUCUGCCCAGCCCUCAGCCCCCUUGGUAUCUGGGGGUGGGAGGUUGGAAUAAAGAGGACACUUAGGUAUUCUGGGCAAAGUGCAUCUCACAGACCCAAUCAGCGGGCAUGCCCUGCAGGUAGCAGUAAUUUGAUUUUGACACUUGAAUUGAGCUUGAACAACUAUAAAAAUGAAAAAUGCAAAGAAAUGACCCUCUUGGGCAGGAUUUCUCCUACUCCCAUGAUUAAAGUAACAUGACCUAAUUUAUAAAAGGCAGCGAAGCCAUGAGGAAGGAAAGGACCUAGUGUAGAGAAGUGUUUGGAAGGUAGGGGCCUGAAAAGAUGCUGGCCAGUGAGCUGCCCCUCCACCCUGUGGGCUUUCUGGCCUCUGGUGAUUAGAACAUUGGCUGGUGGUGGCGCAGGUACCCGCAGGGUGUGAGGUGCAGAAGGGCUUUCCCAGGCUUGCCUGUGCAGCCGACAAGGUCCCGCUUUUCAUCCAGAUAGAGGGAGCCCAGGCCUUAUUUGACCCUCACUGAUCCUCGAAGGAGGAGGGAAAAACAUGAGUGUGGGAAGGACCACCACAAUCAUUGCAGUUGACUGUGAAUCCAUUGUCUAAGCCACAGAGAGCACUGGGGAUUGUAUUACAAUUAGAAAAAUCCACCAUCCAAACCAGUGCAGGUAGGGAAAGCCAUCAAUGCAAAACACGAUAAAUGCCUCCCAUAUAUCAUUAGCUGACAUUGCCUUCAAAAUAAAG